rnacentral:rRNA from 1 species
AUUGAACGCUGGCGGCAGGCCUAACACAUGCAAGUCGAACGAGUGGCGGACGGGUGAGUAAUGUCUGGGAAACUGCCCGAUGGAGGGGGAUAACUACUGGAAACGGUAGCUAAUACCGCAUACCAUCGGAUGUGCCCAGAUGGGAUUAGCUUGUAGGUGAGGUAACGGCUCACCUAGGCGACGAUCCCUAGCGGGUCUGAGAGGAUAACCAGCAACGUUGGAACUGUGAAAAGGUCCAGUCUCCUGCGGGAGGCAGAAGUGGGGAAUAGUGCACAAUGGGCGAAAGCCUGAUGCAGCAAUGCCGCGUGUAUGAAGAAGGCCUUCGGGUUGUAAAGUACUUUCAGCGGGGAGGCGUUAUCCGCAGAAGAAGCACCGGCUAACUCCGUGCCAGCAGCCGCGGUAAUAC